GUGAAAUCAGUGUUAACACCUUCAGGGCACACAGUGGAUAAGCCUGGACUAAUUUCAAUGUGACUCAAAUUUCUGUGUGCUUGUUUAAAUGAAGAGUGUGCAAAUGUGCAGCUGCUGAAAUCAUGCUGUAUUGAUGACUGAUAUCUGUGUGCAGCCGUCUGGGCGGAAAUACAGAUUCUCUCGGUAUGUAUGACUGUUUAUAUGUAAAUGGGUGCAACAUUGUGAACAUAAUGUAU
rnacentral:lncRNA from 1 species